rnacentral:rRNA from 1 species
UACGUAGGGGGCAAGCGUUGUCCGGAAUCAUUGGGCGUAAAGAGCGUGUAGGCGGUUCGGUAAGUCCGCUGUGAAAGUCAAGGGCUCAACCCUUGAAAGCCGGUUGAUACUGUCGGGCUAGAGUCCGGAAGAGGCGAGUGGAAUUCCCGGUGUAGCGGUGAAAUGCGCAGAUAUCGGGAGGAACACCAAUGGCGAAGGCAGCUCGCUGGGACGGUACUGACGCUGAGGCGCGAAAGCGUGGGGAGCAAACAGG